rnacentral:rRNA from 1 species
GACGAACGCUGGCGGCGUGCUUAACACAUGCAAGUCGAACGGAAAGGCCCUGCUUUUGUGGGGUGCUCGAGUGGCGAACGGGUGAGUAACACGUGAGUAACCUGCCCUUGACUUUGGGAUAACUUCAGGAAACUGGGGCUAAUACCGGAUAGGAGCUCCUGCUGCAUGGUGGGGGUUGGAAAGUUUCGGCGGUUGGGGAUGGACUCGCGGCUUAUCAGCUUGUUGUUGGGGUAGUGGCUUACCAAGGCUUUGGCGGGUAGCCGGCCUGGGAGGGUGACAGGCCGCGUUGGGACAAAUUGAUGGCAAUAACACCUAAGGGCGGCGGCAGGGAGGAAUAUAACACUAGGGGCGAGAGCCUGAGGAGGCAACGACGCGGGCGGGAUGAAGGCCUGCGGGUGAUAGCCCGCUUUCGCAUGUUAGGAAUGGGGAGUGACGGUAAUGAAUAAAAAGUCUCAGGCUUACUAGGUG